rnacentral:rRNA from 1 species
AGUGGCGAAGGGUGAGUAACACGUGAGCAAUGUGCCCUUGACUCUGGAAUAAGCGCUGGAAACGGCGUCUAAUACCGGAUACGACCUUCGGAGGCAUCUCCUGGGGGUGGAAAGAACUUCGGUCAAGGAUCAGCUCACGGCCUAUCAGUUAGUUGGUGAGGUAAUGGCUCACCAAGACGACGACGGGUAGCCGGCCUGAGAGGGUGACCGGCCACACUGGGACUGAGACACGGCCCAGACUCCUACGGGAGGCAGCAGUGGGGAAUAUUGCACAAUGGGCGCAAGCCUGAUGCAGCAACGCCGCGUGAGGGACGACGGCCUUCGGGUUGUAAACCUCUUUUAGCAGGGAAGAAGCGAAAGUGACGGUACCUGCAGAAAAAGCACCGGCUAACUACGUGCCAGCAGCCGCGGUAAUACGUAGGGUGCAAGCGUUGUCCGGAAUUAUUGGGCGUAAAGAGCUCGUAGGCGGUUUGUCACGUCUGCUGUGAAAUCCCGAGGCUCAACCUCGGGCUUGCAGUGGGUACGGGCAGACUAGAGUGCGGUAGGGGAGAUUGGAAUUCCUGGUGUAGCGGUGGAAUGCGCAGAUAUCAGGAGGAACACCGAUGGCGAAGGCAGAUCUCUGGGCCGUAACUGACGCUGAGGAGCGAAAGCAUGGGGAGCAAACAGGCUUAGAUACCCUGGUAGUCCAUGCCGUAAACGUUGGGAACUAGAUGUGGGGACCAUUCCACGGUCUCCGUGUCGUAGCUAACGCAUUAAGUUCCCCGCCUGGGGAGUACGGCCGCAAGGCUAAAACUCAAAGGAAUUGACGGGGGCCCGCACAAGCGGCGGAGCAUGCGGAUUAAUUCGAUGCAACGCGAAGAACCUUACCAAGGCUUGACAUAUACGAGAACGCACUGGAGACAGUGAACUCUUUGGACACUCGUAUACAGGUGGGUGCAUGGUUGUCGCCAGCUCCGGCCCUGAAAAUGUUGGGUUAAAGUGCCGCAACGAGCGCCAACCCUCUGUCCUAUGUUGCCAGCACGUAAUGGUGGGAACUCUUGUGAUACUGCCGGGGUCAACUCUGAGGAAGGUGGGGAUGAGGUCAAAUCAUCAUGCAUCCUUAUGUCGUGUGGGCUUCAGCUGCACUGCGUACAAUGGCCGGUAUCAAUGCGGCUGCAAUAUCCAGUAAGGUGGAGCGAAUCCCAAAAAGCCGGUCUCAGUUGAGAUUGAGGUCUGCAGCUCGACCUCAUGAAGUCGGAGU